rnacentral:rRNA from 1 species
UACAGAGGUCCCAAGCGUUGUUCGGAAUUACUGGGCGUAAAGCGCACGUAGGCGGAUUUGUAAGUCAGGGGUGAAAUCCCGGGGCUCAACCUCGGAACUGCCUUUGAUACUGCAAAUCUCGAGUCCGGAAGAGGUGAGUGGAAUUCCUAGUGUAGAGGUGAAAUUCGUAGAUAUUAGGAAGAACACCAGUGGCGAAGGCGGCUCACUGGUCCGGUACUGACGCUGAGGUGCGAAAGCGUGGGGAGCAAACAGG